CGGCAACAGCUCAAAUUUGAAAUCUGGCCCUUGGGUCCGAGUUGUAAUUUGUAGAGGAUGCUUUUGGUGAGGUGCCUUCCGAGUUCCCUGGAACGGGACGCCAUAGAGGGUGAGAGCCCCGUCUGGUUGGACACCGAGCCUCUGUAAAGCUCCUUCGACGAGUCGAGUAGUUUGGGAAUGCUGCUCUAAAUGGGAGGUAUAUGUCUUCUAAAGCUAAAUAUAGGCCAGAGACCGAUAGCGCACAAGUAGAGUGAUCGAAAGAUGAAAAGCACUUUGAAAAGAGGGUUAAAUAGUACGUGAAAUUGUUGAAAGGGAAGCGCUUAUGACCAGACUUGAGCCCGGUUAAUCAUCCAGCCUUCUGGCUGGUGCACUUGGCCGGCUCAGGCCAGCAUCAGUUCGGCGCGGGGGAUAAAGACUUCGGGAAUGUGGCUCCUCCGGGAGUGUUAUAGCCCGCUGUGUAAUACCCUGUACUGGACUGAGGUUCGCGCAUCUGCAAGGAUGCUGGCGUAAUGGUCAUCAGCGACCCGUCUUGAAACACGGACCAAGGAGUCGUCUUCGUAUGCGAGUGUUCGGGUGUCAAACCCCUACGCGUAAUGAAAGUGAACGCAGGUGAGAGCUUCGGCGCAUCAUCGACCGAUCCUGAUGUUCUCGGACGGAUUUGAGUAAGAGCAUACGGAGCCGGACCCGAAAGAAGGUGAACUAUGCCUGUAUAGGGUGAAGCCAGAGGAAACUCUGGUGGAGGCUCGCAGCGGUUCUGACGUGCAAAUCGAUCGUCAAAUAUGGGCAUGGGGGCGAA
rnacentral:rRNA from 1 species